UACAGAGGGGGCAAGCGUUAUUCGGAAUUAUUGGGCGUAAAGGGCGCGUAGGCGGCAUUGCAAGUGGAAGGUGAAAUCCCUCGGCUUAACCGAGGAACUGCCCUCCAAACUGCUUUGCUUGAGGCCGGGAGAGGUGAGUGGAAUUCCCAGUGUAGCGGUGAAAUGCGUAGAUAUUGGGAGGAACACCAGUGGCGAAGGCGAGUCCCUGGACAACUCCUGACACUGAGGCACGAAAGCUAGGGGAGCAAACAGG
rnacentral:rRNA from 1 species